GACGAACGCUGGCGGCGUGCCUAAUACAUGCAAGUUGAGCGCUGAAGGUUGGUACUUGUACCGACUGGAUGAGCAGCGAACGGGUGGGUAACGCGUGGGGAAUCUGCCUUUGAGCGGGGGACAACAUUUGGAAACGAAUGCUAAUACCGCAUAAAAACUUUAAACACAAGUUUUAAGUUUGAAAGAUGCAAUUGCAUCACUCAAAGAUGAUCCCGCGUUGUAUUAGCUAGUUGGUGAGGUAAAGGCUCACCAAGGCGAUGAUACAUAGCCGACCUGAGAGGGUGAUCGGCCACAUUGGGACUGAGACACGGCCCAAACUCCUACGGGAGGCAGCAGUAGGGAAUCUUCGGCAAUAGACGAAAGUCUGACCGAGCAACGCCGCGUGAGUGAAGAAGGUUUUCGGAUCGUAAAACUCUGUUGGUAGAGAAGAACGUUGGUGAGAGUGGAAAGCUCAUCAAGUGACGGUAACUACCCAGAAAGGGACGGCUAACUACGUG
rnacentral:rRNA from 1 species